rnacentral:rRNA from 1 species
GAUGAACGCUAGCGGCAGGCUUAACACAUGCAAGUCGAGGGGCAGCAUACCCGGUGACGGGUGAUGGCGACCGGCGGAAGGGUGAGUAACGCGUGAGCAACAUACCCGUAUCAGUGGGAUAAUACAGGGAAACUUGUUCUAAUAUCACAUAAUAUUAUUCAGAGGCAUCUUUGGAUAAUUAAAGUUCAGGCGGAUACGGAAUGGCUCGCGUGACAUUAGCUAGAUGGUAGGGUAAAGGCCUACCAUGGCUAUGAUGUCUAGGGGUUCUGAGAGGGAGGUCCCCCACACUGGAACUGAGACACGGUCCAGACUCCUACGGGAGGCAGCAGUGAGGAAUAUUGGACAAUGGAUGAAAAUCUGAUCCAGCCAUGCCGCGUGCAGGGAAGGCGGCCCUAUGGGGUUGUAAACUGCUUUUGUUACGGGAGCAAUAAGGUCUACGAGUAGAUUGAUGAGAGUACUGUACGAAUAAGCAUCGGCUAA